rnacentral:lncRNA from 1 species
AUGACCUUCUGGACUUGGUUAAUGAAUUCCUGAGGAUCGUCGUCUGGCUUACACCCAAAGAAGGACGGAGGGUUCAUUCUGGUGAAGUCUUGAAUCCUAGAUGCUACUGAAUUGACCACUAGGUUGGCUAGAAUGAUUGCUGGUCAUUCAUUUUAGGAAGGUACAGACUGAGCAAUAUUGGUAAAUGCGGUCCCAAAUUCCACAUGAUAAAUAUGUUCGCCCAAAGGAUCUU